AAGAAACAUCCAGCUUCAAAUAAAGGUUCAGCUUGAUCCAGGCUUCAAACCACCCAGUUCUGGAGUGGCAAGGACAACAGACAACAGCUGGAGCUCUGAUUUGACGUGGGAAGAAUAAAGUUGGCGUGUGGUCAAGAUUGGAACAGGGUGUCCAAGGUGGAAUUAGCGUCCCUGGAAGUGUUCAAAAAGGUGUGUGGGGACAUGGUGGGCUUGGCAGUGCUUGGAGUCGAUGACCUUGGAGUGUUUCUCUGGGCCAGGCUCAUCUGCUUGUAAGAUUCAGCUGGGCAGGGUGCUGGGCCAGCUUGCCUAAACUGUGCUUUCCUAGGACAGGUUAGACUGGAUGAUUCCUGAGCUCUCUUCCAGCCUGGAAUUCUGUGAUUCUCUGACCUCCUGAAAACACCAUUUGGAGAAGCCAUUCACCAUGAGGAGCCAAGCCCAGCCAGAUUCCCUCCGCCUGCGCUCCGCCGGUGUCUGCCUCGGCUUCCAGCUCCAUCAUCACAUCCAACAGAGCCUGGGGCAAAGCUGGAGCAAAACACCCAGCGCAUUCAAUUUACAAACAGAAAUAAACACCUUUUCGGCAGGUUCUACAUAAUCACUAAACAAAACCAGGGGAGACAAGAUCGGAAGAGCGGUUCAGCAGGAAUGCCG
rnacentral:lncRNA from 12 species